rnacentral:rRNA from 1 species
CCCUUAGAUGUCCUGGGCCGCACGCGCGCUACACUGAUGCAUUCAACGAGUUUCUUCCUGGUCCGAGAGGAAUGGGUAACCUUUUGAAAGUGCAUCGUGAUAGGGAUAGACUAUUGCAAUUAUUGGUCUUCAACGAGGAAUUCCUAGUAGACGUAGUUCAUCAGACUGCAUCGAUUACGUCCCUGCCCUUUGUACACACCGCCCGCCGCUCCUACCGAUUGAAUGCUCAGGUGAGCCAUUCGGACUUUCAUCAUGCUGGUUUCCAGUUUUGAUGAAGGAAAGUCUUGCGAACCUUAUCAUUUAGAGGAAGGAGAAGUCGUAACA